UGUGAGCUCGAUGAGUAGGGCGGGACACGUGGUAUCCUGUCUGAAUAUGGGGGGACCAUCCUCCAAGGCUAAAUACUCCUGACUGACCGAUAGUGAACCAGUACCGUGAGGGAAAGGCGAAAAGAACCCCGGCGAGGGGAGUGAAAAAGAACCUGAAACCGUGUACGUACAAGCAGUGGGAGCACGCUUAGGCGUGUGACUGCGUACCUUUUGUAUAAUGGGUCAGCGACUUAUAUUCUGUAGCAAGGUUAACCGAAUAGGGGAGCCGAAGGGAAACCGAGUCUUAACUGGGCGUUAAGUUGCAGGGUAUAGACCCGAAACCCGGUGAUCUAGCCAUGGGCAGGUUGAAGGUUGGGUAACACUAACUGGAGGACCGAACCGACUAAUGUUGAAAAAUUAGCGGAUGACUUGUGGCUGGGGGUGAAAGGCCAAUCAAACCGGGAGAUAGCUGGUUCUCCCCGAAAGCUAUUUAGGUAGCGCCUCGUGAAUUCAUCUCCGGGGGUAGAGCACUGUUUCGGCAAGGGGGUCAUCCCGACUUACCAACCCGAUGCAAACUGCGAAUACCGGAGAAUGUUAUCACGGGAGACACACGGCGGGUGCUAACGUCCGUCGUGAAGAGGGAAACAACCCAGACCGCCAGCUAAGGUCCCAAAGUCAUGGUUAAGUGGGAAACGAUGUGGGAAGGCCCAGACAGCCAGGAUGUUGGCUUAGAAGCAGCCAUCAUUUAAAGAAAGCGUAAUAGCUCACUGGUCGAGUCGGCCUGCGCGGAAGAUGUAACGGGGCUAAACCAUGCACCGAAGCUGCGGCAGCGACGCUGAUGCGUUGUUGGGUAGGGGAGCGUUCUGUAAGCCUGCGAAGGUGUGCUGUGAGGCAUGCUGGAGGUAUCAGAAGUGCGAAUGCUGACAUAAGUAACGAUAAAGCGGGUGAAAAGCCCGCUCGCCGGAAGACCAAGGGUUCCUGUCCAACGUUAAUCGGGGCAGGGUGAGUCGACCCCUAAGGCGAGGCCGAAAGGCGUAGUCGAUGGGAAACAGGUUAAUAUUCCUGUACUUGGUGUUACUGCGAAGGGGGGACGGAGAAGGCUAUGUUGGCCGGGCGACGGUUGUCCCGGUUUAAGCGUGUAGGCUGGUUUUCCAGGCAAAUCCGGAAAAUCAAGGCUGAGGCGUGAUGACGAGGCACUACGGUGCUGAAGCAACAAAUGCCCUGCUUCCAGGAAAAGCCUCUAAGCAUCAGGUAACAUCAAAUCGUACCCCAAACCGACACAGGUGGUCAGGUAGAGAAUACCAAGGCGCUUGAGAGAACUCGGGUGAAGGAACUAGGCAAAAUGGUGCCGUAACUUCGGGAGAAGGCACGCUGAUAUGUAGGUGAAGCGACUCGCGGAUGGAGCUGAAAUCAGUCGAAGAUACCAGCUGGCUGCAACUGUUUAUUAAAAACACAGCACUGUGCAAACACGAAAGUGGACGUAUACGGUGUGACGCCUGCCCGGUGCCGGAAGGUUAAUUGAUGGGGUCAGCGCAAGCGAAGCUCUUGAUCGAAGCCCCGGUAAACGGCGGCCGUAACUAUAACGGUCCUAAGGUAGCGAAAUUCCUUGUCGGGUAAGUUCCGACCUGCACGAAUGGCGUAAUGAUGGCCAGGCUGUCUCCACCCGAGACUCAGUGAAAUUGAACUCGCUGUGAAGAUGCAGUGUACCCGCGGCAAGACGGAAAGACCCCGUGAACCUUUACUAUAGCUUGACACUGAACAUUGAGCCUUGAUGUGUAGGAUAGGUGGGAGGCUUUGAAGUGUGGACGCCAGUCUGCAUGGAGCCGACCUUGAAAUACCACCCUUUAAUGUUUGAUGUUCUAACGUGGACCCGUAAUCCGGGUUGCGGACAGUGUCUGGUGGGUAGUUUGACUGGGGCGGUCUCCUCCUAAAGAGUAACGGAGGAGCACGAAGGUUGGCUAAUCCUGGUCGGACAUCAGGAGGUUAGUGCAAUGGCAUAAGCCAGCUUGACUGCGAGCGUGACGGCGCGAGCAGGUGCGAAAGCAGGUCAUAGUGAUCCGGUGGUUCUGAAUGGAAGGGCCAUCGCUCAACGGAUAAAAGGUACUCCGGGGAUAACAGGCUGAUACCGCCCAAGAGUUCAUAUCGACGGCGGUGUUUGGCACCUCGAUGUCGGCUCAUCACAUCCUGGGGCUGAAGUAGGUCCCAAGGGUAUGGCUGUUCGCCAUUUAAAGUGGUACGCGAGCUGGGUUUAGAACGUCGUGAGACAGUUCGGUCCCUAUCUGCCGUGGGCGCUGGAGAACUGAGGGGGGCUGCUCCUAGUACGAGAGGACCGGAGUGGACGCAUCACUGGUGUUCGGGUUGUCAUGCCAAUGGCACUGCCCGGUAGCUAAAUGCGGAAGAGAUAAGUGCUGAAAGCAUCUAAGCACGAAACUUGCCCCGAGAUGAGUUCUCCCUGACUCCUUGAGAGUCCUGAAGGAACGUUGAAGACGACGACGUUGAUAGGCCGGGUGUGUAAGCGCAGCGAUGCGUUGAGCUAACCGGUACUAAUGAACCGUGAGGCUUAACCUU
rnacentral:rRNA from 1 species